rnacentral:tRNA from 1 species
CAGGAUGUAGUUUAAUAGUUAAAGCAUCUCCCCUACACUGAGAUAAUUGCCCAUGCAAAUUGGGCCAUCCUGA